UACGUAGGGUGCGAGCGUUAAUCGGAAUUACUGGGCGUAAAGAGUGCGUAGGCGGUUCUUUUGUGUCCGCUGUGAAAGCCCCGGGCUUAACCUGGGAAUGGCAGUGGAAACUAGAGAACUUGAAUCUGGCAGAGGGGGGUGGAAUGCCACGUGUAGCAGUGAAAUGCGUAGAUAUCGUAAGGAAGACCAGUGGCGAAGGCGAGUCUCUGGACAGUUACUGACGCUGAGGCACGAAGGCCAGGGGAGCAAACGGG
rnacentral:rRNA from 1 species